UAGGGAAUAUUGCGCAAUGGACGGAAGUCUGACGCAGCGACGCCGCGUGAGCGAUGAAGGUCUUCGGAUCGUAAAGCUCUGUCCUUGGGGAAGAAGGCGAAAGCUUGACGGUACCCAAGAAGAAAGCCCCGGCUAACUACGUGCCAGCAGCCGCGGUAAUACGUAGGGGGCGAGCGUUGUCCGGAAUUACUGGGCGUAAAGGGUGCGUAGGCGGCCCUUUAAGUCGGAUGUGAAAGCCCGCGGCUUAACCGCGGAAUGGCAUUCGAAACUGGAGGGCUUGAGUGUCGGAGAGGGUAGUGGAAUUCCCAGUGUAGCGGUGAAAUGCGUAGAUAUUGGGAGGAACACCAGUGGCGAAGGCGACUACCUGGACGAUAACUGACGCUGAGGCACGAAAGCUAGGGGAGCAAACA
rnacentral:rRNA from 1 species